rnacentral:rRNA from 1 species
AUUGAACGCUGGCGGCAGGCCUAACACAUGCAAGUCGAGCGGAUGAAGGGAGCUUGCUCCUGGAUUCAGCGGCGGACGGGUGAGUAAUGCCUAGGAAUCUGCCUGGUAGUGGGGGAUAACGUCCGGAAACGGGCGCUAAUACCGCAUACGUCCUGAGGGAGAAAGUGGGGGAUCUUCGGACCUCACGCUAUCAGAUGAGCCUAGGUCGGAUUAGCUAGUUGGUGGGGUAAAGGCCUACCAAGGCGACGAUCCGUAACUGGUCUGAUAGGAUGAUCAGUCACACGGGAACUGGGACACGGUCCAGACGCCUACGGGAGGCAGCAGUGGGGAAUAUUGGACAAUGGGCGAAAGCCUGAUCCAGCCAUGCCGCGUGUGUGAAGAAGGUCUUCGGAUUGUAAAGCACUUUAAGUUGGGAGGAAGGGCAGUAAGUUAAUACCUUGCUGUAUUGACGUUACCAACAGAAUAAGCACCGGCUAACUUCGCG